GCUGCUGUCCGGAGUCGCAUAGCUAGUUAAAGGCAGAGUCCGGACUAGAAGCAGGUGCGCUUCCCGGCACAGCACCCGGGCAUGCCAGCAAGCUGCCCUGGCCCAUCGAGCAGGCUGAGAACAGCACCUCCAAUGUGCAAGGACAUGGAUGCGUGUUUAUAAAGAUGUGUGCAGAGAUGGCACGAAUUCGUAUGUAAGAAUCAAGGGCAAAAAAGUGGAGCACAAGAUUGGAGAGACACCCACGGGGGAAAGAAAGACUUCAUGCCCAACACGGGCCAUGGGGCUUGAACUUACGACCCUGAGAUCAAGAGUUGCGUACUUUACCAACUGAGCCAGCCAGCACCCCUGGAAAGAAACCUUGAAUGUAUUUACUUUUCACAAAUCCAAAGACACUUCUUUAUUACCUGGGAGUCUGAGAUCGGAAACAGCUAAUGUAUAAACAUAUUUUAGACACAUCUCCCAUAGUAAAUAUAUGUGGAAACGUUAACUUUAGCAUGCAAAAAUUCAACUAGGUGAAGUAGAAGACAAACAUCUGCAG